CAUUAGGUGCCCUUCGGGGAAAGUUGAGACAGGUGGUGCAUGGUUGUCGUCAGCUCGUGUCGUGAGAUGUUGGGUUAAGUCCCGCAACGAGCGCAACCCUUGACUUUAGUUGCCAGCAGGUUAAGCUGGGCACUCUAGAGUGACUGCCGGUGACAAACCGGAGGAAGGUGGGGAUGACGUCAAAUCAUCAUGCCCCUUAUGACCUGGGCUACACACGUACUACAAUGGCCGGUACAACGGGAA
rnacentral:rRNA from 1 species